rnacentral:lncRNA from 1 species
CCAGAUUUACAGGUUUUGUGGUAUUCGAUGUCGAGUCGUCGGUGAAGUUCCGCUCUGAUUGUGACACGGGAAAGGGUUUUAUAUUGUAUAUAAAGUCCAUUAUCUAGGUUGUUUUGUAUAGCUAAUAAAUACAUUAGUUGAUUUAAGAUUUGUAUAAACACUAUUUUUACUAAUUAAUUACAUUAGUGUUAUUUUGAUAGAGGAGUGUAAUACUCGAACCGAUAUUCAAUAAAUUAAAUGUGAUUUUCCGUUGCGUAUUUUGAAAAAAAUAUUACUAAAGGAAGAAAUAUAUAAAUAAUGGGUUUGGGUGUUACAAUU